GACGAACGCUGGCGGCGUGCUUAACACAUGCAAGUCGAGCGAACGGACGAGAAGCUUGCUUUUCUGAUGUUAGCGGCGGACGGGUGAGUAACACGUGGAUAACCUACCUAUAAGACUGGGAUAACUUCGGGAAACCGGAGCUAAUACCGGAUAAUAUUUUGAACCGCAUGGUUCAAAAGUGAAAGACGGUCUUGCUGUCACUUAUAGAUGGAUCCGCGCUGCAUUAGCUAGUUGGUAAGGUAACGGCUUACCAAGGCAACGAUGCAUAGCCGACCUGAGAGGGUGAUCGGCCACACUGGAACUGAGACACGGUCCAGACUCCUACGGGAGGCAGCAGUAGGGAAUCUUCCGCAAUGGGCGAAAGCCUGACGGAGCAACGCCGCGUGGGUGAUGAAGGUCUUCGGAUCGUAAAACUCUGUUAUUAGGGAAGAACAUAUGUGUAAGUAACUGUGCACAUCUUGACGGUACCUAAUCAGAAAGCCACGGCUAACUACGUG
rnacentral:rRNA from 1 species